AGGACGAACGCUGGCGGCGUGCUUAACACAUGCAAGUCGAGCGGAAAGGCCCUUCGGGGUACUCGAGCGGCGAACGGGUGAGUAACACGUGAGUAAUCUGCCCCUAGCUCUGGGAUAGCUCCGGGAAACCGGGAUUAAUACCAGAUACGACCACUUUAGACAUCUUCUGUGGUGGAAAGAACUUCGGCUAGGGAUGAACUCGCGGCCUAUCAGCUUGUUGGUGAGGUAACGGCUCACCAAGGCGACGACGGGUAGCCGGCCUGAGAGGGCGACCGGCCACACUGGGACUGAGACACGGCCCAGACUCCUACGGGAGGCAGCAGUGGGGAAUAUUGCGCAAUGGGCGAAAGCCUGACGCAGCGACGCCGCGUGGGGGAUGAAGGCCUUCGGUUGUAACCCCUUUCAGCAGGGACGAAGCGAAAGUGACGGUACCUGCAGAAGAAGCGCCGGCUAACUACGCGCCAGCAGCCGC
rnacentral:rRNA from 1 species